rnacentral:rRNA from 1 species
AACGAACGCUGGCGGCAGGCCUAACACAUGCAAGUCGAGCGCCCCGCAAGGGGAGCGGCGGACGGGUUAGUAACGCGUGGGAACGUACCCUUUUCUACGGAAUAGCCUCGGGAAACUGAGAGUAAUACCGUAUACGCCCUUUGGGGGAAAGAUUUAUCGGAAAAGGAUCGGCCCGCGUCUGAUUAGGUAGUUGGUGGGGUAAUGGCCUACCAAGCCUACGAUCAGUAGCUGGUUUGAGAGGAUGAUCAGCAACACUGGGACUGAGACACGGCCCAGACUCCUACGGGAGGCAGCAGUGGGGAAUCUUAGACAAUGGGCGCAAGCCUGAUCUAGCCAUGCCGCGUGAGUGACGAAGGCCUUAGGGUCGUAAAGCUCUUUCGCUGGGGAAGAUAAUGACUGUACCCAGUAAAGAAACCCCGGCUAACUCCGUGCCAGCCGCCGCCGUAA